AUCCUUUGUAGUUCACAAGCAUGAUAAUUGGGUUUUCACAUGCAUGUGUAAGAUAUGCCUCCUUCAAACCUUUCACAAUGUCAACAUAUUACCCAUCUGAUG